rnacentral:rRNA from 1 species
UACGUAGGGGGCAAGCGUUGUCCGGAUUUAUUGGGCGUAAAGAGCGUGUAGGCGGCCAGGUAGGUCUGCUGUGAAAACUCGAGGCUUAACCUCGAGCUGUCGGCGGAAACCAUCUGGCUAGAGUCCGGAAGAGGAGAAUGGAAUUCCCGGUGUAGCGGUGAAAUGCGCAGAUAUCGGGAGGAACACCAGUGGCGAAGGCGGCUUUCUGGCCUGUUCUUGACGCUGAGGCGCGAAAGCUAGGGUAGCAAACGGG